UUCUCUGUUCUCUUCUUCUCCAAUCUCUUUGUUCCAACCACAUCUCAGAUCCACCAUCUUCUCCGAUCUUUUCUCUUCUUCUUCGUUUUCUUUGUUCCAGCCACAUCUUCAACCUCAUUGAUCUUCUUCGUUCUCUUCGUUCAUGCCACAUCUCUAAUCGACCCCAUCUUCUUAGUAACCUUCAUGAUUGACAUCGUCGUUCAACUAACGACGACGAUGUCUCUCUGUUCGUCUCUCUACUGCUAACUCUAUCAUCGUCACUUCGGGCCAAGGAAGAUCAAUAAACAAUUGUUCAUUGAUAUUAGGAUUAUACCAAUUUGCUGCAUCUAAAAAACUUCUUAUAUUUAGAGAUUCACAACUCGAGGGAUGGUUAGUGGAUUUGUUAUCAAAAGUAAGAAACCUAGAACUUUUGAGGUAAUGAAGAGAGAAUUGAAGAAGCAUCUGUCUAGGGGAUUCUCCGCAACAAUAUUCUUCCCUUUUGUCGAGUUGAUAGUUACAAGUUCCAUGCUGCUGGUAGAAAGGAUGUUGAUGUUCGAAUGUUGGGUUCAGGUAGACCUUUCUUGGUUGAGAUAUAGAACGCACGUCUUCUCCUAUUUGAUGUGAUAAUAAAUGAAAUACAGUCAAAGAUAAAUAGCUCAGAGAAUAAAUUGAAGCAAUAUGCUUCACCUUUGUGGACAUCUCGCCCACUCGAGGAUGAUGAUUUUUUUAUCAAUAUCAUCACUCAAAUACUCGGACUCCAAUAAGAGUGCUUCAUUGUCGAAUUCCAUUAGAACAUGAAAAGAUCAAUCUGGAUGAAGAUUAAGAAUGUUGCUGAAAGUUCUCAGUAUUAUCUCGUACAUUUGUGUACCCAGGUUUUGUCUUGCUACAACAGUGGGAGAUUUGUAGAGGAUCAAAGGGGACGUAGACAAGGAAGACAAUGGCGAUGCCAAUGAAGAUAUCGAGUUUAUCAGUUUUAUUGUGAUGUAUUGAGUUUUCUAAAACAUGGUAGUUUUUUGUUUAGGUUUGUUCACAAAGGAUUUUUUUUUCCUUUAUAAACAUAAUUGUAAUGGA